rnacentral:misc_RNA from 1 species
CUAUCCGCUCGGUGGCUUUAAUAAGCUCCUUCGCACUAGAGAAGCUCAUCAGCUCAGUCACUUUCCCUAGUUUUUCCUCUACAGCGGCUCUCAUUCGCUUCUCAAAUGGCUAAUUCCAAAACCCACAAGAGUGUUCUGCUAAUUUGCGGUGAUUACAUGGAGGAGUAUGAGGUUAGAUUCCCUUAAUUUCUCGAUUGCUAAUGGCUAAUUGUUUUUUUUUCCUUAAUAUGUUGUUUGUUGUCGCAGGCGAUGGUUCCUUUCCAAGCACUGCAGGCUUAUGGAAUCGAUGUUGAUGCUGCCUGCCCUGGGAAGAAAGCCGGCGAGUUUUGCCGUACUGCCGUUCACGAGCCUGCUGGUUAUCAGGUCUUCUCUUUGUCCUUUUAUAGAAGGCGAGAAUUUUCCCUUUUGUUUUUACAUUUUUUUUUUUGAAGUUGAAUGCUUUUUUAUUUCUUAAUGUUGAUUGUUAGUAAUUUAGGGCUAGUUUUAUUUUUACUCUCUAUUGCUUUGGUGUUUCUUAGUUGUAAUAGAUGCCGGUUCAUUAAGUGGGAAUGCAACUGUUAAUAGGUUUCUAUUUUAUUGAUUACCCUUCUUGCAGUAUAUGAUAGAGUUGGAUUUGGAUAUUGAUUUUUAUUACUAAAAUUAUUCUUCAUCACAAAACACGUAUGGUGUUAUAAUCUGAUCAGCCUUCUGGUAAUGGUGGAAGUACUGCUGGUGGUAAUUUGAAUCAUGAAGUGUGCAAGUGGUUUGCUAUACUGAAUGUGCAUAAUAUAUUAAGUGGUGGACGGAAAACGUUUAUCUAACACAUUUAAAAUGAUUAAAUAUUGGAGUUUAAAUUCUCAACUCUGAACUGGGUCUUCCAACAUGCCUUUUCUCUUCAUAGAGGAGACUUGUGUAAAUUUAAUAGUUCUAUGGUAGAUGAAAAGGUUAAGACUUGGUUGAAAGAGCCUUUUCCUUUUUGUCUUUUCUCCGUACCCUGGCCUAGGCUUUGUUCUUUUGUUCUUCCUUCUAUCUCCAUGAUUCUGUUCCUCCUAUUUCUGUAUUAGUUUUUUUGUCAUCAUUACCUCCAUCAUGAGAAUAACUCAAAAGUGAGCUGUUCAUGAGCUGAUUUUGGGUUAACUGAUGAAAAUUUUUCAUUUCAGUCUUGUAGGUGUAUAUCUACUGAUUGAAUGAAGUAAAAACACAAUAUAUUGAAUUCAUUUCCUUGUUUUUGAUGCUAGACAUAUACCGAGUCACCUGGGCACAACUUUUCUCUCAAUGCAACGUUUGAUGAAAUUGAUUUUGGCAAAUAUGAUGGGUUGGUGAUACCGGGAGGAAGGGCUCCAGAAUAUCUUGCCAUGAAUGAAUCUGUGUUAGAUUGUGUCAGGAAAUUUGCAGAUGCUGGAAAGCCAAUUGCCUCUGUUUGCCAUGGACAAAUAAUCUUGGCAGCUGCAGGCUGUGUAAAAGGUCGGAAGUGUACUGCUUACUCUCCUGUGAAACCCUUACUUAUCGCUGCUGGUGCUCAUUGGAUUGAAGACCAAACCAUGGCAACUUGUGUUGCUGAUGGCAAUAUAAUUACUGGGGCUACAUAUGUUGGCAAUCCUGAGUUUAUUCGGCUUUUUGUGAAGGCUUUAGGAGGUACCAUAACUGGUUCAAAUAAAAGGAUUCUAUUUCUCUGUGGGGUAAGUUGUAAUUACUUGCCUGAUUUGAGUAGAUAAAGAGGCUGAUCACUGGAUUUCUUCUUCUUCUUCUUUUAAUAUUUCUGUAACAUUCCUGAGAUAUUGAAUUAACAUAAAUAUUUAAAAAUAGCAGACAACAUAAAAAUCAUUAAGAGUUAAUGGACAAUCAUUUAAAAUAGCAGAGACACCAUACAAGAUACAUAAUCUGGAAAAGUGUUAAAAUUCUAGCCUGUUUCCUAUUCAUGCCUAAGGAGACUUCUGAUAAUUCUAGUUUGAAUGUGCCAUGCCAGAGUUGAAAAAUGAAAUUGCUUUUCACUCUUUUUGGAACAAUUCCUUUGAUAAAGUUCAAUUUAGAUGGAUUUACGAUAGAGCCAUGUGUUCAGAAUAAAUGUUAAGGUAAUAGAAUUUAUUUGAAUUCUAUUGUUUGGAAUAUUUGAAAAGUGAAAUUAAUGUAUUUGUUUUCCAAAUUACCCCAUUUAUAAAUGGACAACUAAACUUUAAAUAAGGGGUAUCACGAGGUUUUAAAUAGUGAAUCUCAUUAAAUGAAUUGAACUUUUGCGAAAUCAGUACAUUUUGGCUUUAUUUUUUUACUUUUUCAAAAUGGCUUCUUUUUUAAUUUGAAUUCUGGAAACCAUAUGAUUUUCAAACACAAGAAUUAGCCAAAUAAAAUACAAUUGUGUUAGAUUCUGACUUAUAACACAUUUUAUUCACUUUCUCCUUAGUUUAUAAAAGACAACCCAUUUGAGGAGUCUUAGGCAUUGGAAUCACCUGGAAAUGCACAUUUUCACUUUAUGCUGUUAUGAGUGUGAAUAGCCAUGUAGCAUUUUCGUGAUAAACCUCCAUCAUGUGCAAAAGCUGGAUGGUUAUGCAGCCUCUUGCUUGUAAGUAAUUUGUAACACCUUCAGGCCAUCCAUACUAGCUACCCCAUGUUGUAGAUUAGGGGGCCAAGUUACCCAAGUUUGUCUGGUUCUACUGGAUUGGCUCUAAACAGUUACUAUAUGAGUGACUCUAAUGGUGGGUCCAUCUAAUGCAUGGGAGGUGUGACUGUAAUAAUGUCGCAUGGAGCUAAUAAAUUCCUCCUGUGUUUGAAUACCUGUUAGUCAUUUGAUUUUAAAACUCUGGACUAGGAUCAAGGAUUUACUAAGUUUGAUUGCCAAAUGGUCAAGGAGAAACAGAUUUUUUUUUUUGAUAAAUAACAGAUUCCUUAUUAUUCUUGUAAUUUUGAGUUA